rnacentral:lncRNA from 1 species
UUGCAUGAUUUUAUGAGGUAAGCCAAGCAAGUAAAGGAGAAAUAAGAGACUCAUAUAGGCUCGAUUAUAAAUUGAUUUAACUGUUUUCGUUACCGAGAUCUCUUUCCUAUUUUUUUAGAGAAUUUUUUGAUAAUCAGCUCUCGUGCUGCAAACAGUUAAAUCUAAACCUUAUCGCGCUUCUUUCCUCGUGGGCAGGAAGGAAUGGAAUGCAACUUUCCUCAUAAACUGCAUCCUCAAUACAUUUGAGAUAAGAACAAAUUAUAGGAUGGAGUGGAAGUUGCAUCUAGGUGCAUUACAUGAGGUUGUUGCUUAUUUAUUGGCCCAUAUAUAUCAUUGCAAAGAAAAUUGCAAUUGCAAUGAGUUUUCAAUCUAUAUAAGCUUUAUAUAUGAUUUGCAUUCAAU